CAGCCGCCGCGGUAAUACGGAGGGGGCUAGCGUUGUUCGGAAUUACUGGGCAUAAAGCGCACGUAGGCGGCUUGGUAAGUUAGAGGUGAAAGCCUGGAGCUCAACUCCGGAAUUGCCUUCAAUACUGGCGAUCUUGAGUAUGGAAGAGGUAUGUGGAACUCCGAGUGUAGAGGUGAAAUUCGUAGAUAUUCGGAAGAACACCAGUGGCGAAGGCGACAUACUGGUCCAUUACUGACGCUGAGGCACGAAAGCUAGGGGAGCAAACAGGAUUAGAUACCCCAGUAGUCCCUGUCUCUUAUAC
rnacentral:rRNA from 1 species